rnacentral:sRNA from 1 species
GGUCAAUGAGUGGUCAUUGAAGAUAAGAAAGGAAAUGAGAGUUGUUGACAGGCAAAUAAGGGAUAUCCAAAGAGAAGAAGAAAAAGUGAAACGAUCAGUGAAAGAUGCUGCCAAGAAGGGCCAGAAGGAUGUCUGUGUAGUUCUGGCCAAGGAGAUGAUCAGGUCAAGGAAGGCUGUGAGCAAGCUGUAUGCAUCCAAAGCGCACAUGAACUCAGUGCUCAUGGGGAUGAAGAACCAGCUCGAUACAGGGUUUCACCAUGUUGCCCAGGAUGGUCUUGAACUCCUGAGCUCAAGUGAUCCACCCGCCUCAGUCUUCCAAACUGUUGGGAUUAUAGGUGUGAGCCGCUGCACCUGGCCCAGAACUAAUAAAAUUUAACGUUUUGUUGUAUUUGCCUCCUUCUAUAUUAUUAAAAAAAAAAAAAGCGUUAUUACAAAA